AUUUCACUUAAAAACAUGUAGAACUCUAAAUAAUAGCUAUGUUAUGUCAGGCAGAGAAAGUAAGUCAGAGAAAAACAAUGAUGCACCCACGUACUACAGCGGAAUACGCAAAAAUGAUGCAAGCUAGGAAUCGACAAAGUAAACCACACACAGGGUGCUUAGAUAGAAAACGUAAAAGGGUGUACAGAGUCAAAAAGGAGGUCGGGAGGUACCAACUCCCGAUGGAAAAACCUGGAGGUAUGCUUUGAUUCGCCCGAUAUCAAUUACCGCUAGCUCUUGCACACUUCGUCCGGUAUUGCUUUGCUCUUUGCGUCCAAAUGUCGUAAGCUCUCCUUGUCCGCUGCGACUUGUACCUGAAAAUCACGCACACAACAAACCCCCUCCCCCCAAAAAAAAAGAGCGAGGGGGGCUGCCUAGCUCGGGAAAGGGGAGGGGUUUCCUUACUGGGGGGUCGCCGGAGAAGGGGGGUCGCCGGAGUUAGGGUUGGCAAUGGAGUGAGGGCUGGGUAGUGAAGAGAGAGGAGAGAGAGAGGAGAGAGAUAGGAGAGAGAGAACUUACUUAGGGGGGUCGCCGGAGAAGGUUCGCCAGAG
rnacentral:lncRNA from 1 species